CCUACGGGAUGCUGCAGUGAGGAACAUUGGUCAAUGGGCGGAAGCCUGAACCAGCCAAGUAGCGUGCAGGAUGACGGCCCUACGGGUUGUAAACUGCUUUUAUACGGGAAUAACGCGCCUUACGUGUAGGGCUUUGCAUGUACCGUAUGAAUAAGGACCGGCUAAGUCCGUGCCAGCAGCCGCGGUAAUACGGAAGGUUCGGGCGUUAUCCGGAUUUAUUGGGUUUAAAGGGAGCGUAGGCCGCAUGUCAAGCGUGCUGUGAAAUGUCCGGGCUCAACCCGAGCCUUGCAGCGCGAACUGGCUUGCUUGAGUCCGCGGAAGGCAGGCGGAAUUCGUGGUGUAGCGGUGAAAUGCGUAGAUAUGACGAAGAACCCCGAUGGCGAAGGCAGCUUGCUGCAGCGGAACUGACGCUGAUGCUCGAAAGCGCGGGUAUCGAACAGGAUUAGAUACCCGAGUAGUC
rnacentral:rRNA from 1 species